rnacentral:rRNA from 1 species
GAUGAACGCUAGCGGGAGGCCUAACACAUGCAAGCCGAGCGGUAUUGUUUCUUCGGAAAUGCGAGAGCGGCGUACGGGUGCGUAACACGUGUGCAACCUGCCUUUAUCUGGGGGAUAGCCUUUCGAAAGGAAGAUUAAUACUCCAUAAUAUAUUGAACGGCAUCGUUUAAUAUUGAAAGCUCCGGCGGAUAGAGAUGGGCACGCGCAAGAUUAGCUAGUCGGUGAGGUAACGGCUCACCAAGGCGAUGAUCUUUAGGGGGCCUGAGAGGGUGAUCCCCCACACUGGUACUGAGACACGGACCAGACUCCUACGGGAGGCAGCAGUGAGGAAUAUUGGUCAAUGGGUGCAAGCCUGAACCAGCCAUCCCGCGUGAAGGACGACUGCCCUAUGGGUUGUAAACUUCUUUUGUAUAGGGAUAAACCUACCCUCGAGAGGGUAGCUGAAGGUACUAUACGAAUAAGCACCGGCUAACUCCGUG